rnacentral:rRNA from 1 species
GACGAACGCUGGCGGCGUGCCUAAUACAUGCAAGUCGAGCGGACCAAAGGGAGCUUGCUCCUGGAGGUUAGCGGCGAACGGGUGAGUAACACGUGGGCAACCUGCCUGUAAGACUGGGAUAACAUCGAGAAAUCGGUGCUAAUACCGGAUAAUAAAAAGAACUGCAUGGUUCUUUUUGAAAGAUGGUUUCGGCUAUCACUUACAGAUGGGCCCGCGGCGCAUUAGCUAGUUGGUGGGGUAACGGCUCACCAAGGCGACGAUGCGUAGCCGACCUGAGAGGGUGAUCGGCCACACUGGGACUGAGACACGGCCCAGACUCCUUACGGGAGGCAGCAGUAGGGAAUCUUCCGCAAUGGACGAAAGUCUGACGGAGCAACGCCGCGUGAGUGAUGAAGGUUUUCGGAUCGUAAAACUCUGUUGUUAGGGAAGAACAAGUGCCGUUCGAAAGGGCGGCACCUUGACGGUACCUAACGAGAAAGCCACGGCUAACUACGUGCCAGCAGCCGCGGU